GAUGAAGCCUUUCGGGGUGGAUUAGUGGCGAACGGGUGAGUAACACGUGGGCAAUCUGCCCUUCACUCUGGGACAAGCCCUGGAAACGGGGUCUAAUACCGGAUAACACUCUGUCCCGCAUGGGACGGGGUUGAAAGCUCCGGCGGUGAAGGAUGAGCCCGCGGCCUAUCAGCUUGUUGGUGGGGUAAUGGCCUACCAAGGCGACGACGGGUAGCCGGCCUGAGAGGGCGACCGGCCACACUGGGACUGAGACACGGCCCAGACUCCUACGGGAGGCAGCAGUGGGGAAUAUUGCACAAUGGGCGAAAGCCUGAUGCAGCGACGCCGCGUGAGGGAUGACGGCCUUCGGGUUGUAAACCUCUUUCAGCAGGGAAGAAGCGAAAGUGACGGUACCUGCAGAAGAAGCGCCGGCUAACUACGUGCCAGCAGCCGCGGUAAUACGUAGGGCGCAAGCGUUGUCCGGAAUUAUUGGGCGUAAAGAGCUCGUAGGCGGCUUGUCACGUCGGAUGUGAAAGCCCGGGGCUUAACCCCGGGUCUGCAUUCGAUACGGGCUAGCUAGAGUGUGGUAGGGGAGAUCGGAAUUCCUGGUGUAGCGGUGAAAUGCGCAGAUAUCAGGAGGAACACCGGUGGCGAAGGCGGAUCUCUGGGCCAUUACUGACGCUGAGGAGCGAAAGCGUGGGGAGCGAACAGGAUUAGAUACCCUGGUAGUCCACGCCGUAAACGUUGGGAACUAGGUGUUGGCGACAUUCCACGUCGUCGGUGCCGCAGCUAACGCAUUAAGUUCCCCGCCUGGGGAGUACGGCCGCAAGGCUAAAACUCAAAGGAAUUGAC
rnacentral:rRNA from 1 species